UACGUAGGGGCGAGCGUUGUCCGAAGUUACUGGGCGUAAAGCGCGCGUAGGCGGGGGGUUAAGUGAGAGGUGAAAGGCUGGGGCUCAACCUCAGUAGUGCCUCUCAUACUGGCCUUCUUGAGGGCGGUAGGGAGAAGUGGAAUGGCUGGUGUAGCGGUGAAAUGCGUAGAUAUCAGUCGGAACACCGGUGGCGAAGGCGGCUUCUUGGGCCGUUCCUGACGCUGAUGCGCGAAAGCUGGGGGAGCGAACGGG
rnacentral:rRNA from 1 species